AUAGGAGUGAUUCUGAUUUAAUAACAUUGAUUAUGAUGCGAAUUAAAUUUUGUUUCACUUGGCAACAAAUAUUUUGAUUUUCAAAAUUUAAGUACGUUGAUUUGUGAUGGAUUGUAAACAAUAUUAUUUAGUUUGAUCAAUAACUGAAAAAAAAUUUAGUCCACAUUAAAUUUUAAAAUUGAAGUUGCAUGUUUUUAAGUUUAACUAUUCAUUCAUAAAAAAAAAAAAAAAAACUCCAGUACGUGGUUUUCACUAUUUUGGAGAUAAUUUAUCAGUUCUUCUUCUUUAUUUUUGUUUUUUU
rnacentral:lncRNA from 1 species